UCUACUUGCCCAGGGGGAUGCCUCCUGAGGACAAAAAGAAGACCUUCAGGCUGCAAACCUCCAGAGUUCAGCUAAAGCACAGGGAAGGGACAGCUGGCCUAUGGUGCUCAGAGGAGAUGAGGAAAACAUCCUCCUGUCCGGGAGAUGCUGUGCAGCUCUAAGGGACAGAGUGACCAAGAAUGGAGCCAGAGACCCCUCACCUUCGGCUCUCCUGCAGCCUGAUAAGAACAAUGACAUUCUGAAAGGCCAGGCGAAUCGACUGAGGACACAGCUGAGCCAGAACUAAAACCCACGUCUUUCAUCACAGUUCCUAAUAUGAAGAAAUGGGAAGCCAAGCCCUGCUUAUCCAAGUUAACCCAACAGAGCCACAUGAACUGACCUGCAGAUCUGCAAGGAAAAUAUAUGUCUUCAUAAAUUA